CAGCGAGGGCGUAGCAAUACGCCUGUCGGCGACCGGCGCACUGGUGAGUAACACGUAUGCGACCUGCCCCCUACAGGGGUAUAACCCGUAGAAAUGCGGACUAAUCCCCCAUAGUCCUGGGUGCUGCAUGGCAUUCAGGGGAAAGGCCAGCCGGUAGGGGAUGGGCAUGCGGCGCAUUAGCUAGUUGGCGGGGCAACGGCCCACCAAGGCGACGAUGCGUAGGGGUUCUGAGAGGAAGGUCCCCCACACUGGUACUGAGACACGGACCAGACUCC
rnacentral:rRNA from 1 species